UUUUAGCUUGGCUCAAUUACCCACAGCCUAAGAAGAAGGAAGGAAAAGAAAAACUCUUCUUCUUCCUUUCCUUCCCCUUUCACGCCUCUCUCUCUCCCUCACCCACAAAUUUCAGCCUCCACAACUUUUGCAGAGAGCUCCGGCCACCAGCCCAUCCGCGCCGCUCGUCGACAUCUACUCCAUCGCCACCCAUCAACCUCUGCUACGCUGUCACAGUUCGUCAGCCUCCCUCGCUAACACACCGCCGCGCACCACCAGUCUGAGCCACACGAAUCUGCGCCGUCAGCUUCUACAGGUCGCGCCCGUCGUGCGCCGUCGCUUUUCUCCAUCACCGCUGUUCUUGCCUCCGUCCUCAGUCGCCGCCUUUUUGAAGUUGGGUGUUGGGUUCGGAGGAAAUUGGAAGUUGGAAGCGAACUGUCCAACAUUCUUGAAGUAUUUAUUGGUUGAUUAAGAGUUUGGAGGUUGUCAAAGUUGCUGUCUAGUAGGUGUUGAAGUUGGAUUUUGGUGAAAUUUGGAACAUGUUGGUUUGGAGGAUUUGAGGACUUGAUUCAAGAUCUUAUUGAACAAAUAAGAGAUAAACUUUCUUGAACAUAUUUGGGUUUAUUAUCAAGGUAAGAGCAAGGAGAGACCGACGAAUGACAAGAAGAAUCCGUAACCGUGCCAUUGGGACUGGACAAAAGCUUUCACACAUGUCUUUCAUAUUUUUCAUGUUACAGUCGUUAAUAGUCAAAUAUUUGGAGUUUUAAAUUAUGUUUCUUAUUUGAAUUUUACGUUUUAGGGGGAACCCCAAUCAAAGAUUUAUAGUUAUUUGAAUUUUUGUAAAAGUAAUUUAUUUUAUGAAAUUCUUUUGGUUUUAGUCAUAUUUUGUAAAGAGUUGUUUGAGAUUUAUAUAUGCAUGUAGUAACGGUCCAAUUCAGUCUUAGAAAGUCGGGUCGUUACAGUUGGUAUCAGAGUCUAAGUUUUUAGGUUCUGUAGACUGACUUACAAUGUAAGUCCAAAAUGUCCCUAUGGCUCGUCAAUGGAUUCUUUGUCAUCACCAGGUAUGUAUCGUAAAUAAAAUUUUUAUGAAAGUUGUGCCAAAAAAAAAAUAAAAAAAUUGUUUGGUUUAUACACUAAUUAUGAUCUAUUGAUCGUUUAACGAUUUGAAAGAAGCUAGUAUGAGAUUGUUGUUCAACUAUGGCACUAUGGAAAAAAAAAAAAAUAUUAUGAGGUCAUUUGUCACUUAUCUCAUGGAAGGACUUUUAGAAAGGGACAUAUAUUUUAGCUCAAAUAUCUUAAGGUAUGAUAAAACUAUGCGACAUUAUGGUAAUGAAGACAAAAAAGGAUGUACUUGUUUAAGCAAGAAAACAAAGUUGCAUGUCUAUAUGAGCAUUGAUUAAAGAACUUGUGGCAUGUUUUAGUAGAAAGUGAAAGUGGUGUUGCGAAAAGAAACUUUGUUGCAAUGAAGUAUGUGCGUACAUUGAAAUCAAGGUAAUUGUCCUAAUCAUUGAAAAAAAAAGAUAUAUUAAGGGACCCAAUUUUAGGUUGCUACCUAUUGAAGUCAUUGGCUUUUGAGUAAAGUUUUUGAUAUGUUAUAAUCACUCUUGUGAAGUUAAGGUGGAUGGGGUAAACAAGGUACCUAAGACUUGAAGUGGAAAAAAAAAAUAUUGUGGCUUUUAAUUGAGAAGUCACGACAUAUAAUUGUGGGUCUUACUUAUGUCAUUGUUAGGGUGAAAAGACUUGAAAUUGAUCAAUUGGACUGAGAGGGAGACUUUUUGGAGUUUUAAGUAACAAGAUGUUGUGAUGGUGAAUUCUACACAAGAUGGAAACUUUGAGUUGGAGAGGUACGAUAUAUAGAAGAGUUUAGAAGAGUUACACUUAGUAUGAAUUUUAUGUCACACUUGGAAAGAGGAAAAGUACCUUGGAUAAAUUAGUCUUAACAAGGAUAAGUGUGAGGAAAAUCAAAGUACAUAGGGAAGAUUUUAUUAUUUUGGGAAGACAGAGGAAAUUAAUGUUUUGAGACUACAUGUACAUAAGUUUGGUUUGACCUUCUAAGAUAGAAAUUUGGUGUAUGUGAGCCUUUAGAAUUGGUAUAAGCAAUCUAGUUACUACUGGGACUUUGGACCUUAUUAUAUGUUGGUGGAAGAAAUUAUGUAAACCGUUGGUUAUGAAGCUCAGUGUCAACACGAAAGGCUUUUCUAAAAACAAAAGGGUAAGGAGGGAUAACCUAAAAGGCAGUUGUUAGUAGCAAUGGUUGCUAGGAACUAUUGAAAUGGAAGAUUGAGGCUUUAAUAGCGGAAAGGUAAAUUAUUGAAGGCGUUAUCAAGGAUUAAGUGAUUGUGACUUUAGGCGCGAGCUCUGACUAGAAACUAGUGUGCAAUCAUUUUAAGUGAAAAAUGGGAGUUAUCUAGGGAGAAGUAUACAAGGAGGGCCGCUACCAUUUAAUAAAGUAUCUGGGUCUCUCUAGAUGAUAGCUCAAGAGAUGAACUCGAGAAUGAGGCUCGAGUUGAUAGCAAGAAGUGGUUAUAAUUGGGAUGAAGUAGCUCAGGUCACAGAAACAUGAAUUGUUUAGCAAAGUUCUUUUAUGCGCCGAUGUCUCACCUCGGAGCACACUAGUUUUGUUUGUUAAGAAAGAGAGAUGCUAGGGUCGUUAGGUGUCAAAUUUAGAUUCUGAAUUAUGGGUUGGGGCACUACAGAUAAUAUGUUUUCUUCUACGUGGACAAAGAGUUUACCAACUUUAGAAAAAUAAAUAUUCUUGAGGUGGAUUUAUGAAUUAGGAAGGUUCUUUUCUUAAAAGCUACAUUCAUGGAUCAGAUACAGUUAUUAUGAGGUCUUGAGGAUGUGUUUUAGAUGGACUGACACAUUAUAUUGUCCAGGGGCUUCAGGAACCUCAUUAUGAAAAAGAUUUCCAGACUCAUUCGUAGUAGGGUCUAAAUAGUGAUAUGCAGUUGUUUUAGGACUAAAGAGCAACGUGAAGAUUGGCGAGUAAGUUUUAUAACGUUGGUAGUAGAAGGCCUUAUGCUAAGACUCUAAUGAGCAUGAGACUUAAUUGGAUGAAGUUGUUUCUCAGACACGUAGCUACUAAGAAAGACAUCACAAUUGGGGUUCCCCAUAGUAAAAGUAAUUUCCAAUUGAUCAGAUUUUCUUUGUAAGUAUCUUGAGAUUACGUCGUAUACAGUGUGGCCAAUUGCUCUGCGACACGUAUUAUGAUUUCUCCAUGCUAGCACGAAUGGUUCUGAUGCAUGUUUCUAGUAAAUAAGACUUCCUAUGCUCAUGAUAGUUUUCAGAACGAAUUUGCUAUAGUACUAUUGGUUCUUCAGCAUCUUAAGUUUUGAGGUUGUAUAUGGAGGACCGUGUCACACUUAUGGGGAACCAUUAGGUACCCGGUCGGGUAUUAAUGGAAUUUUUCGCCCACAGAUGGUUAAACCGAGUGCUUGAAUUAAACUUUAGAGGAUAUGUUACGCGUUUGCAUGCUAGGUUUUGUAAGGAGUUGGGACUCCCACUUGAAUCUUACUAAUAACAGUUAUCAGUCUACCAUAUGCAUGUCGCCAUUUUAAUUACUGUAUAUGGAAAAAGGUUGCAGGUCUCCCGUUCACUGGGAUGAGGUCAGUGAAUGGAAGUUGCUGAGUUAGUGCAAUUCAUAUUGUUUUCAUAUCUCAUGUUGAGGGAGCAUGUGACAAAUCCGUUUCAUGUAGUGGGCUUUGAGCCUUUACACUUGAAUAAGAACAUAAAUUAUGAGGAGUAACCUAAGCGAACUCUUGCUAGAGAAGUAAAAGUUUUGCGCAUCAAGGAGAUAGCACUAAUGAAAGUUUAAUGGCGGAAUCACCAGUUCGAGGAGGCGACAUGGGAACGAGAGGACAAGAGCCCAGUACCCAAAACUUUUGCAGGACUAAAACUUUCGAGAACAAAAGUUUCUUAGGGAGGGAAAAAUGUAAUAUCUCGAAUUUCAAGAUUUUUUAAAAAAAUUUAUCUUGAAUUGUUUGGGCAUUAAUUUAUUUAAUGGGGCUGGGUUUGAUUAUUUAGAAAGAGGUAAUUGGUUAAUUUCAAGUUAAUUGUGGAUUUAAAAUUUUGAAUUUAAUUGGAGUUGAUAAGAAACUUGAAAUCAAUUGGAUUCACUUGAUAAUUCGGAAAUUUGAAAUUUAGGUGGUAAGAUAAUUAACUUAGGAGAUAUUUGUGAAGAUUUGGAAGUUUGAAUUCAAUUUAAGAAAAAUGGGAUACAUUAUUGUGGGUUUGAAAUUUUAAAGUCGGGGGAUUUAUUUUUGAGAAGAUAAUGAAUUUAAACUAAGUUGAUAAGAGAAGCUUGAUUUUCUUUAAGGAGAAAAUUUAUUAUGAGGAAAGAGUUGGGAGUUUGAUUUCAAAUUGGGGGAGAUCAAAAAAAAAAAAAAAAAAAAAAAGAAGAGAUGAAUAUAUAUAAUAUUAAAAAAAGCACAAAUUGGCUUUGACUAGUCAAUUAGGGUUUAAUGGAAUUUAUUAUGUGGUAUGUGGGUUUUGGCUUGGCUCAAUUGCAUGCAGUCAAAGAAGGGAAUGAAAAAAAAAAACUCUUCUUCGUCCUUUCCUCUUUCCCCUUUCACGACACUCUCUCUCCCUCACCCUUCGAGUACACAUCUUAUGAUUAUGUUAGGGAUCACCACCUAUGCUUAUGAUUGUGACCCUUCGGGAUCACUACUUAUGAAAGUGUGCCUUUGGAUUCGCCACUUACGCUUAUGUCUAUGUUUAUGCCUAUGAUACGCGAUGCACACCUGUGCCUUGAAAGGGAGGCUAACGGUCACCCAGGGGACCCAGUAGAGGCUCCUUUUCCAACCCUCUAGACACUCUGGUUUCUUUCUCCCAAAAAUUCCAACCACAAGAAACGAUCUUUCUCAUGAAGAGGCAAAUAGAGGAACUGUCCGAUACUAACAAUAAAGGAUGUGAUCCAAGUUUUCCUCCACCUUACCGAGAAGACAACAAAACAAGUUCAUUAGUGACAAUAUCCUCCUCGAGAGUCGAUUCAAAGUAUUCACACGUCCAUGUAGAACUUUCCAUGUAAAGAAUCUCAUUUUCUUAGGAAUCUUAAUCCUAUAAAAGGGUGAAAUAACAGACUCACUAAAAGGAGAAGGAUACAACAGACAACAGAAAAGGGUAUUACAGGAAAAUCCCUCCAUAUGGUUGGAUUCUGGACAUGUAAGUCCUUUCUCCCAUGCUUAAAGUUAAACUCCCCCAACAACGACAACAAAGAGAUGACAUCAGUCACAUCCCUAUUGGUCAAAGAGCAACUAAACCUGAAGGAAAAAGGAAACUGAGCUCCCUGACCAAAUCAAAAAGUCAAACACUAAAUGAUUUUUAAAGGACAAAAUGAUAAAAGACAGGAAAAUGUAUAACUGCGAGGUCUAUCCUCCAACCACUAGUCUUUCCAGAAAUACAUUUCCUUGCCCUCUCCUACCACACACUAGACAAAAUGGGAGAAAGACGGGAGCUUGUUAGAAAUAUCCUUCCACAACUUUCAAUAAGUGCCAUUAACUCCACUCGACAACCACUUAAAGGGAUAAGGCCCAUAUUUUGGGUAUUUAAUUUUUUACAUUUAGCCCAGUUAAAUUUAGCCAAAUCUAAGCCCAACUAAAGUGUCCAAGCCCAAACCAAAUAGAAUUUUAGGGGGAAAAAAU